rnacentral:rRNA from 1 species
GAUGAACGCUGGCGGCGUGCCUAAUACAUGCAAGUCGAGCGAACAGACGAGGAGCUUGCUCCUCUGACGUUAGCGGCGGACGGGUGAGUAACACGUGGAUAACCUACCUAUAAGACUGGGAUAACUUCGGGAAACCGGAGCUAAUACCGGAUAAUAUAUUGAACCGCAUGGUUCAAUAGUGAAAGACGGUUUUGCUGUCACUUAUAGAUGGAUCCGCGCCGCAUUAGCUAGUUGGUAAGGUAACGGCUUACCAAGGCAAUGAUGCGUAGCCGACCUGAGAGGGUGAUCGGCCACACUGGAACUGAGACACGGUCCAGACUCCUACGGGAGGCAGCAGUAGGGAAUCUUCCGCAAUGGGCGAAAGCCUGACGGAGCAACGCCGCGUGAGUGAUGAAGGUCUUCGGAUCGUAAAACUCUGUUAUUAGGGAAGAACAAAUGUGUAAGUAACUAUGCACGACUUGACGGUACCUAAUCAGAAAGCCACGGCUAACUACGUG